rnacentral:rRNA from 1 species
CAGCCUGCCCAGUGACCCUGUUCAACGGCCGCGGUAUCCUAACCGUGCGAAGGUAGCGUAAUCACUUGUUCUUUAAUUGCGGACUAGUAUGAAUGGCACCACGAAGGUUACACUGUCUCCUUUUUCUAAUCAGUGAAACUAAUCUCCCCGUGAAGAAGCGGGGAUAAAAAUAUAAGACGAGAAGACCCUAUGGAGCUUUAAACAAUGUAGCAAUUACUAUAAAACAUCUGAAUUUCCGAAUUUUUAAAUCUCUAAGUAACAUGUCUAUAAGUUUUUGGUUGGGGUGACCACGGAGCAUAACACAACCUCCAUGUUGAAAAUUUUAAAACUAAGAACAACCCAUCUAAGCAUCAACAUAUUGACAUCAAUUGACCCAAUAUAUUUGAUCAACGAACCAAGUUACCCUAGGGAUAACAGCGCAAUCCACUUCGAGAGCUCCUAUCGACAAGUGGGUUUACGACCUCGAUGUUGGAUCAGGGUAUCCCAGUGGUGCAGCCGCUACUAAAGGUUCGUUUGUUCAACGAUUAAAACCCUAC